AGAAGCGGCCCCGCCCAAGACGACCCGGGCGAAGCGGAAGCCGGCUGCACAAUCUCCGCGGCUCCUCAUGAAGCCCGGUCUUGGACCACAUUUCGGGCUGGCGAUGACGGCGGGGAGAGUACGGGAGCCAGUGCCGACGGAGGACCGAGGUCAAGGGAGUGCGCCGAGCUGUUUCCGCUACGACGCAGCAAGAGGAUCCAGUCAAGAAGGAAGCGGCCCCACCCAAGACGGCCCGGGCGAAGCGGAAGCGGGCUGCACAAUCGCGUUCGUUCUAGGACUACUAAGCUGGGCAAUGAAGUCGCCAACACGAUCGGUGUCAUAAUUUACAAAUAAAUGAUUAUCUUCAUUUAAUUCUGUUUGUGUCAGCAAAUCAGCCGAGCCUACGUGCGUUUCUAGGGGCAGUGCUUAUUUCAACAAAAGCUCCCGGUAACACGUUUACCCUUAAUGCAU